rnacentral:rRNA from 1 species
GAUGAACGCUGCCCGAAUGCUUAACAUAUGCAAGUCGAUGGGGAAGUGGUGCUUGCACCAUGGUAACCAUGGCGGACGGGUGAGUAACGCGUAAGGAACUUGCCUGCGGGACUGGGAUAACAGCAGGAAACUGCUGAUAAUACCGGAUAAGGUCAUUAAGCUGCAUAGCUUAGUGAUGAAAGGAGACGCCUGCGGAGAGCCUUGCGUCCUAUUAGCUAGUUGGAGGGGUAACGGCCCACCAAGGCGAAGAUAGGUAGCCGGCCUGAGAGGGUGGACGGCCACAAGGGGACUGAGAUACGGCCCUUACUCCUACGGGAGGCAGCAGUGGGGAAUAUUGGACAAUGGGGGCAACCCUGAUCCAGCAAUUCUGUGUGCACGAAGACGGUUUUCGGAUUGUAAAGUGCUUUCAGCAGGGAAGAAGGAAGUGGCGGUACCUGCAGAAGAAGCGACGGCUAAAUACGUG